AGGGCGGGACUUAGUCCAGACAAAGCGAGACGCUGUUUAAAGUUCGUUAUAGUCAUCAUAAAUGCAGUAUUUUGCAAGAAGUAAGACCCAGCGGGAUUGUGAUUGUGUGUAACCUAAACCGGCGGGAGUGUGAGCCGUAUUGGGAGAGUUCGACACUGCCUUAACCCUUUUGGGCAUGGAAUUCACCAGAGCUCACAGGUUGCUUCAGGAAUCCUCUCCCACUCCUCCAUGAUGACAUCAUGGAGCAGAUGGAUGUGAAGACACCUUGCGCUUCUCCACCUUCAGCUUGAGGAUGGCCCACAGGUGCACAGGAUUAUCUUGUCCUCCAGUCACCUCAACUUUUAUUCCCUCAUGGAAUGCUCAGCCUGACUCACCGCCCUCUCCCUGGUCACAGACUAAAGCCUACUACUGUUGG